GCGGGUGUAGUUCAAUGGUAGAACUUCAGCCUUCCAAGCUGAUUGCGUGGGUUCGAUUCCCAUCACCCGCUCCA
rnacentral:tRNA from 4 species